CCGGGCGACGGUUGUCCCGGUUUAAGCGUGUAGGCUGGUUUUCCAGGCAAAUCCGGAAAAUCAAGGCUGAGGCGUGAUGACGAGGCACUACGGUGCUGAAGCAACAAAUGCCCUGCUUCCAGGAAAAGCCUCUAAGCAUCAGGUAACAUCAAAUCGUACCCCAAACCGACACAGGUGGUCAGGUAGAGAAUACCAAGGCGCUUGAGAGAACUCGGGUGAAGGAACUAGGCAAAAUGGUGCCGUAACUUCGGGAGAAGGCACGCUGAUAUGUAGGUGAAGCGACUUGCUCGUGGAGCUGAAAUCAGUCGAAGAUACCAGCUGGCUGCAACUGUUUAUUAAAAACACAGCACUGUGCAAACACGAAAGUGGACGUAUACGGUGUGACGCCUGCCCGGUGCCGGAAGGUUAAUUGAUGGGGUCAGCGCAAGCGAAGCUCUUGAUCGAAGCCCCGGUAAACGGCGGCCGUAACUAUAACGGUCCUAAGGUAGCGAAAUUCCUUGUCGGGUAAGUUCCGACCUGCACGAAUGGCGUAAUGAUGGCCAGGCUGUCUCCACCCGAGACUCAGUGAAAUUGAACUCGCUGUGAAGAUGCAGUGUACCCGCGGCAAGACGGAAAGACCCCGUGAACCUUUACUAUAGCUUGACACUGAACAUUGAGCCUUGAUGUGUAGGAUAGGUGGGAGGCUUUGAAGUGUGGACGCCAGUCUGCAUGGAGCCGACCUUGAAAUACCACCCUUUAAUGUUUGAUGUUCUAACGUUGACCCGUAAUCCGGGUUGCGGACAGUGUCUGGUGGGUAGUUUGACUGGGGCGGUCUCCUCCUAAAGAGUAACGGAGGAGCACGAAGGUUGGCUAAUCCUGGUCGGACAUCAGGAGGUUAGUGCAAUGGCAUAAGCCAGCUUGACUGCGAGCGUGACGGCGCGAGCAGGUGCGAAAGCAGGUCAUAGUGAUCCGGUGGUUCUGAAUGGAAGGGCCAUCGCUCAACGGAUAAAAGGUACUCCGGGGAUAACAGGCUGAUACCGCCCAAGAGUUCAUAUCGACGGCGGUGUUUGGCACCUCGAUGUCGGCUCAUCACAUCCUGGGGCUGAAGUAGGUCCCAAGGGUAUGGCUGUUCGCCAUUUAAAGUGGUACGCGAGCUGGGUUUAGAACGUCGUGAGACAGUUCGGUCCCUAUCUGCCGUGGGCGCUGGAGAACUGAGGGGGGCUGCUCCUAGUACGAGAGGACCGGAGUGGACGCAUCACUGGUGUUCGGGUUGUCAUGCCAAUGGCACUGCCCGGUAGCUAAAUGCGGAAGAGAUAAGUGCUGAAAGCAUCUAAGCACGAAACUUGCCCCGAGAUGAGUUCUCCCUGACCCUUUAAGGGUCCUGAAGGAACGUUGAAGACGACGACGUUGAUAGGCCGGGUGUGUAAGCGCAGCGAUGCGUUGAGCUAACCGGUACUAAUGAACCGUGAGGCUUAACCUU
rnacentral:rRNA from 1 species